AAGAAAACAAGAUAAACCUUACAUGAAGCUGCUGAGCAUUUGUUUCGUAUCGUCAUUGACUCUCGAGUUGGCAAAGCUGAUGCAGGAGCAGUAUAGCGCAACCCAAGCACACCACUUCAACUGCAAAUGACAGCCCUGAGGUUACCUGAGGUUUCAAUCAACUUGCCUAAAAGGUCAACACUUCAAAAACGAAGGGUGAACAGGAGCACUGUCAGGGGCCACGAAAGCCUGAGCUGUUGUUUGACGUCUGCAUUUUGAGUGGGAAUGUUGCUGGCGAGCUGCUCCUGUAUGUCGUCUGCUGGUCCACAACAGUGCUGGUGGAGGCCGAGGGUUCCGGGCCACGGGGACCUCGGUUGCCAGAUCCAAACUGCGGUAACGGUUUCUGCCCUCCUAUCUUAUUGUGAGGUGAAGUCACCGUAUAUAAGCAAGCGAUUUGAGAAUAGCAAACCUCUGGAGACAUCUCCCGUCACGCAGGGUGCAGUCGCACCUCCACAGAUCUCCAGUAUCAGCUCUUAAUACUGGUAAUGGCUCAAAAGGGCCACCACUUACAGGCU